GGGGGGUGCGAGCGUUGUCCGGAAUCACUGGGCGUAAAGGGCGCGUAGGUGGUUUGAUAAGGGUGUGGUGAAAGCCCGGGGCUCAACCCCGGGUCUGCCGUGCCGACUGUCAAACUCGAGGGCUGUAGAGGCAGACGGAAUUCCGGGUGUAGCGGUGGAAUGCGUAGAGAUCCGGAGGAAGACCGGUGGCGAAGGCGGUCUGCUGGGCAGUUUCUGACACUGAUGCGCGACAGCGUGGGGAGCAAACAGG
rnacentral:rRNA from 1 species